rnacentral:rRNA from 1 species
ACGAACGCUGGCGGCGUGCUUAACACCUGCAAGUCGCACGGAAAGGCCCUGCUUGCAGGGUGCUCGAGUGGCGAACGGGUGAGUAACACGUGGGUGAUCUGCCCCUUACUUUGGGAUAAGCCUGGGAAACUGGGUCUAAUACUGGAUAGGACCAUGCUGUAGGUGGUGUGGUGGAAAGAUUUUUUCGGUAAGGGAUGAGCUCGCGGCCUAUCAGCUUGUUGGUGGGGUAAUGGCCUACCAAGGCGUCGACGGGUAGCCGGCCUGAGAGGGUGGACGGCCACAUUGGGACUGAGAUACGGCCCAGACUCCUACGGGAGGCAGCAGUGGGGAAUAUUGCACAAUGGGCGCAAGCCUGAUGCAGCGACGCCGCGUGGGGGAUGACGGCCUUCGGGUUGUAAACUCCUUUCAGCCAUGACGAAGCCUCUUUUGGGGUGACGGUAGUGGUAGAAGAAGCACCGGCUAACUACGUG